UGGGGAAUUUUGCACAAUGGGGGAAACCCUGAUGCAGCGACGCCGCGUGAUUUAGAAGGCCUUCGGGUUGUAAAAAUCUUUUCUAUGGGAAGAAAAUGAAAGUACCAUAGGAAUAAGGACCGGCUAAUUACGUGCAAGCAGCCGCGGUAAUACGUAAGGUCCGAGCGUUGUCCGGAAUCAUUGGGCGUAAAGGGUACGUAGGCGGGUAAGCAAGUUAGAAGUGAAAUCCUAUAGCUCAACUAUAGUAAGCUUUUAAAACUGCUCAUCUUGAGGUAUGGAAGGGAAAGUGGAAUUCCUAGUGUAGCGGUGAAAUGCGCAGAUAUUAGGAGGAAUACCGGUGGCGAAGGCGACUUUCUGGCCAUAACCUGACGCUGAGGUACGAAAGCGUGGGUAGCAAACAGG
rnacentral:rRNA from 1 species